CCUACGGGAGGCAGCAGUAGGGAAUAUUGCUCAAUGGGGGAAACCCUGAAGCAGCAACGCCGCGUGGAGGAUGAAGGUUUUCGGAUUGUAAAGUCCUAUUGUCAGAGAAGAAAAUGACGGUAUCUGACGAAUAAGCACCGGCUAACUCCGUGCCAGCAGCCGCGGUAAUACGGAGGGUGCAAGCGUUACCCGGAUUCACUGGGCGUAAAGGGUGCGCAGGCGGGCUUGUAAGUCAGAUGUGAAAUCCUGUAGCUUAACUAAAGGACUGCAUUGGAAACUGUGAGACUGGAGUGCAGGAGAGGUAGGCGGAAUUCUUAGUGUAGCGGUGAAAUGCGUAGAUAUUAAGAGGAAUACUCGUUGCGAAGGCGGCCUACUGGAAUGUAACUGACGCUGAGGCUCGAAAGCGUGGGGAGCAAACAGGAUUAGAUACCCUAGUAGUC
rnacentral:rRNA from 1 species